CAGCAGCCGCGGUAAUACGAAGGGUGCAAGCGUUACUCGGAAUUACUGGGCGUAAAGCGUGCGUAGGUGGUGGUUUAAGUCCGUUGUGAGAGCCCUGGGCUCAACCUGGGAAUUGCAGUGGAUACUGGGUCACUAGAGUGUGGUAGAGGAUAGUGGAAUUUCCGGUGUAGCAGUGAAAUGCGUAGAGAUCGGAAGGAACAUCUGUGGCGAAGGCGACUAUCUGGGCCAACACUGACACUGAGGCACGAAAGCGUGGGGAGCAAACAGGAUUAGAUACCCCCGUAGUCCCUGUCUCUUAUAC
rnacentral:rRNA from 1 species